CACAUUUCUGAGAUUUUUCUUAAAAUUAGGCCCUAUGUUAGGGUUAGGGUUACAUUCCAUCUGUAGUCCAUUGCUACUGGAUAAUAUGUUGGGUGGAAUUGGCUACCAAACUGGGAGAAUGGGGGAUCAAAUCUGAUACAAUGUUAUGAAAAAGGAAAUGUGGGAACAUAGGGCCUAAUUUUG